UGCACGUGUCGUGUCUGUAGUUGAAAAUCUGUGCUCAGGUUUGAGCCGAGCGAAGCGAGACAGCAACGCGCCAGCGUUGACCCCGGAUGCAUCCUGCACUACCUAUCA
rnacentral:sRNA from 2 species